ensembl:rRNA 5S_rRNA 5S ribosomal RNA
GUGUGUGGCCAUACCACCCUGAACAUGUCCGAUCCCGGAAGCUAAGCAGGGUCAGGUCUGGUUAGUAAUUAAAUGGGAGACCUUCUGGGAAUACCAGGUGCUGCAAAAA